UCUUUCAAGAAAAAAAGUCUCAUUUGAGAAGUCUUCAUAUCUCGUGAGGAUGAAUUAAAAGCAGAAUCUCAACUUUGCUACCUUUAAAUGUCACGGAGAGAAAAAACUGCAAAAUCAUGUGCAACAAUAUCCAUGAUAAAUCAUCUUUGAUCUCAACAUAACAGAGACUAUAAGGACUAUAAAGACUAGAAGAAAGAGUAGAAGUUUAUCCACAAUCAAUUCAGAACCAGGUCUUCUAUGGUGGCUCACAGUUCCUGCACCCUACAAUAUUGUGAAUUUUCUUCCGCUUCCUUUCAUGUAAUGACAUGAAUAUGCUCCAGUGGAUCCUAGGAUAUCUUUCACAUGAGGUUACCCUCGCCCUUUGGAUGUCAGGUGGAACAAAGGGAUGGAAGAUUUUUUGUACUGGGACAUUCAGUAAACCCCUAGGCCUACCUAUUGUGUAGUUAGAGUUAGAGAAGCAAACGAUGUCCGUGAGGGCCUACAAGGCACAAGAGGACGAAAGUUUAACUUAAAGUUUAGAUGCUAAUAUUCUAGCUAAUAAUAAUGUAUGAUUGCCUCAUGUGCUCUCUUUUUUUAUAUUUCUCUCCUAAUAUAUAAAGAUGGAUUUCAAAAGA